rnacentral:tRNA from 1 species
UGUGGCUCAGUGAUAGAGCACUUGCCUCACAUCUAUGAGGCCCUGAGUUCAAUCCUCAGCA